rnacentral:rRNA from 1 species
GACGAACGCUGGCGGCGUGCUUAACACGUGCAAGUCGAACGGAAAGGCCCUGCUUUUGUGGGGUGCUCGAGUGGCGAACGGGUGAGUAACACGUGAGUAACCUGCCCUUGACUUUGGGAUAACUUCAGGAAACUGGGGCUAAUACCGGAUAGGAGCUCCUGCUGCAUGGUGGGGGUUGGAAAGUUUCGGCGGUUGGGGAUGGACUCACGGCUUAUCAGCUUGUUGGUGGGGUAGUGGCUUACCAAGGCUUUGACGGGUAGCCGGCCUGAGAGGGUGACCGGCCACAUUGGUACUGAGAUACGGCCCAGACUCCUACGGGAGGCAGCAGUGGGGAAUAUUGCACAAUGGGCGGAAGCCUGAUGCAGCAACGCCGCGUGCGGGAUGACGGCCUUCGGGUUGUAAACCGCUUUCGCCUGUGACGAAGCGUGAGUGACGGUAAUGGGUAAAGAAGCACCGGCUAACUACGUG